CUCUACGUCUUUGUCCAGUUCGUCUUCGUCACCUUCAUUAUCCAAAUCACUUUCAUCUUCUUGCUGCGGAAUCUCUAUACCUUCAUUAAGGUCUUCUAUAUUCAUCUCUGCGUGUCUUCGUUUAAAUAUUUUUACUCGCUUCCCUGCAAUUGGUAUUUUCAAUUUUGUACCAUCUAACUCCCGUAAUGAGUAAGUCGCAUUAUCAUGAACAGUU
rnacentral:lncRNA from 1 species